CCGUGCUAAGUGGGGAGUUAGCGGUGCCCUGUACCUGCAAUCCGCUACAGCAGGACCGAACCGCCCCUCUCGACUACCGAAGUGGAAGGCCGCCCCGUAUAAGGGGUGUUGAUAACAAGGUCUUAUGCAACUUUCCGCCGCGAACCGUGUCAGGGUAGGGAUACAGCAGCACUAAACGGAGAGGCGAGUGUGCCAUAGGGUAGCUUUGUAGUAGCUACCUGUGCGGGUAACGCUUCGGCUUCGGUUGGCAAAAGGGGCUGCACGG
rnacentral:SRP_RNA from 1 species